rnacentral:rRNA from 2 species
AACGAACGCUGGCGGCAGGCUUAACACAUGCAAGUCGAGCGCCCCGCAAGGGGAGCGGCAGACGGGUGAGUAACGCGUGGGAAUCUACCUUUUGCUACGGAAUAACGCAGGGAAACUUGUGCUAAUACCGUAUGUGUCCUUCGGGAGAAAGAUUUAUCGGCAAGAGAUGAGCCCGCGUUGGAUUAGCUAGUUGGUGGGGUAAAGGCCUACCAAGGCGACGAUCCAUAGCUGGUCUGAGAGGAUGAUCAGCCACAUUGGGACUGAGACACGGCCCAAACUCCUACGGGAGGCAGCAGUGGGGAAUAUUGGACAAUGGGCGCAAGCCUGAUCCAGCCAUGCCGCGUGAGUGAUGAAGGCCCUAGGGUUGUAAAGCUCUUUCACCGGAGAAGAUAAUGACGGUAUCCGGAGAAGAAGCCCCGACUAACUUCGUGCCAGCCGCCGCGGU